UCUCCGUUGGUGAACCAGCGGAGGGAUCAUUACAGAGUGCCCGUGGCUCUGCUACCCCGUGAACCUUACCCUGUUGCCUCGGCGGGUACGCCCGCCGUAGGCCCCUAAACUCGCAAUCAGUCGCCGUAAAUCUGACUUGAUAACUAAAUGAAUAAAAACUUUCAACAACGGAUCUCUUGGCUCCGGCAUCGAUGAAGAACGCAGC
rnacentral:misc_RNA from 1 species